rnacentral:rRNA from 1 species
UACGGAGGGUGCAAGCGUUAUCCGGAUUCACUGGGUUUAAAGGGUGCGUAGGUGGGGAGGUAAGUCAGCGGUGAAAUCCCCGAGCUUAACUCGGAAACUGCCGUGGAUACUAUUAGUCUUGAAUCUCGUGGAGGUAAGCGGAAUAUGUCAUGUAGCGGUGAAAUGCUUAGAUAUGACAUAGAACACCGAUAGCGAAGGCAGCUUGCUACACGAGUAUUGACACUGAGGCACGAAAGCGUGGGGAUCAAACAGG